rnacentral:rRNA from 1 species
UCGGACGGGUGAGUAACGACGUGGAGUAACCUGCCGUAUACCGGGGAGUAACACUUAGAAUAGGUGCUAUACCGCAUAAGCGCACGGCUCCGCAUGGGCAGUGUGAAAAACUCCGGUGGUAUACGAUGGAUCCGCGUCUGAUUAGCUAGUUGGCGGGGUAACGGCCCACCAAGGCAGCGAUCAGUAGCCGGCCUGAGAGGGUGGACGGCCACAUUGGGACUGAGACACGGCCCAAACUCCUACGGGAGGCAGCAG